rnacentral:rRNA from 1 species
UACGUAGGGACCGAGCGUUGUCCGGAAUCAUUGGGCGUAAAGAGCGUGUAGGCGGCCACUUAAGUCCUGCGUGAAAUCUUGCGGCUCAACCGCAAGCGGUCGUGGGAAACUGGGUGGCUAGAGUGCGGGGAGAGGAGAGUGGAAUUCCUGGUGUAGCGGUGGAAUGCGCAGAGUAUCAGGAAGAACACCCGUGGCGAAGGCGGCUCUCUGGAACGCAACCGACGCUGAGACGCGAAAGCGUGGGGAGCAAACAGG